GCUCCUCCAAGUGCAUAAACUUGUUGUAUACAUCGUCCUCCUGCCUAAGACUCAUGUCACUUGUGAAGUCUGGCUGCAGCCGGUCUUGACAGUUGUCAAUCGCCUGUUCAUUAACAGCUUGGCUGGACUCUUCUCAGUAGAGAUCGUGGGCGUAACAUGCAUGAACCUUGACAGUUGGGUCUGCCAGUCACCCACUGAGAUACUAGACAGAGCCUCCUUGGUUGUCUGAACCAUACGUUCAGCUUGGCCAUUGGAGGAAUGAUGUUAUGGGGAUGUGGUGACGAGUCUGAUUCCGUUCCGCCCAGUGAGCUCCUUAAACUCAGCAGACGUGAAGGCAGCUUGGCAUGACUCCUGACAGAUGACGCAGCUGUGCACCACCGCCUCAACUUCCAUGUCCAUCCCAGACCACCACGCAUAGCUUUGUGCCAGUGCCUUCAUCCUCACUAUUCCAGGAUGCAUAUCAUGCAGCAUGGAAACGACCCCCACUCUCGCCAGGAACCACCACCCGGUUGCCCCUCAACACAAAGUUCUUCCAACGAGACCAGUAUGGCCCAAACUGUCUGCUAGGAACCUCCCAGAGGCCCAUCCAUACAGGAUCCUUCAAGAUGGAUAACUCGGUUCAGUCAAAGUAGAGGGAUGGAGAACUUCCAGCUAGAUGGGGAGGCGCUCACCCACAUUGCCAUGAUGACCCAGGACCAUUACCCAGUGAAAUUGGGCAUCAACUGAGACCUGGGUUGCACAACUGUUCAGAUGCAGGGCUCCUGAGUGGCGCAGAGGUCUAAGGCACUACAGCUCAGUGCUAGAUGUCUCACUACAGUCCCUGGUUCAAAUCCAGGCUGUACCACAUCUGGCUGUGAUUGGGAGUACCAUAUGGCGGUGCACAAUUGGCCCAGUGUUGUCUGGGUUUGGC
rnacentral:lncRNA from 1 species